CCGUGUUCCUGUCCUGUUUAAUUAACGUAGAGGGAGAACUGGGUUGUGCUGGAAGUCACAGCUCUGCCUCACCACGCAGCACAGAAAGCAGCCGUGGGUUUCCUGCAAGGAUAGGGGCAGAGGCUCCUCCUGCUGGGACCCACAGCUGUGGGGCCCUCAGCUUCCUCCCACCAAACCCCAUGUGCAGCACAUCAUCCCCAGCGCCAUGGAGAUGGUCCAAACGCUGCCAUGAGAUUUGCUGUCGGCUCCAGCUCCUCCCAGCCCAGGAGACGGACGGGAGCAGCUCUCCCUACCUGUCUCCCAGCCUCUCCCAGGUGGCAGAGGCUGAGGCACGGAUGAAAUAUGUCUCCAUUCCUGCUCCCUUGCACCUGCUUUUAAAACAAUAGCUAAAUAACCUCCCUGCUGCCGGCUGCAUAAAUCACUCGUAUGGGUUUCAGUGACACGGGCAAACGCCGGAGGUUUGAGGCAGUUUUUCUGGCCAGGGGAAAAAAAUAAUUAAAAUAAAAGCUGGAGAAACUCUGUGAUCAACUCCAGAAUUCCAAUGAGGCUGCCAGGCUGGGAUGUGGUUGAGCGAACGUGAGCUCUGGGUUUCCAUGCAGGUGGGUCACGGCACAGGGACACAGUAGGAGCACCCCAGGUUUGCUGCCAGCAUUUAGGAACCAGAAUGCAGGGGACACUGUGUUGCUCUCUGCCCUACUGUGGGGAAGGUCCUGAGCAGACCCCCAGAUGGGAUCUGCAGCACUUCCAGCCUGCAGAGAUCCUCAGCACAAGGAGAGCUGCAGCGUAGCGUGAGAAGGAGGGAGAGUCUUUGGGCUAGACAGCAUAAAACUCUUGUGUAAUCAAUGAUCAAUUAUUUACAUAGCGUAAGUUACAGGGAAAGCAUCCUUUAAGUCUAAGUUUCCCAUUGAGAAGAAUUGCUCCCUGUUUAGAAAUACACUAAUUAUUCUCUUAAACAAGGAUGAGCUAUAAGUAAUUUAAGGGUUUUAUCACUCACAAUUUGCAAUAAUGUAAUUGAGCGAGCGGCAACAAAUAAAUCCCACAAUGAAAGAAAGGUGGCAGAUUCAACUCAGAGCACGAGGCAGGAUGCAGGACUGCACUGCCUGCAGCUGUCAUAGAUGGGGGUGCAGGAGAAGGGGUGACCAGGGGGGUCUUAUGGCCCAUGGAGUGCUACUGCAGCUCUGCUGCACAGCCGAGAUGCCACCAUCCCCUCCUGCCCAUUGCCGGUGUCUCCUUGCUUGGUCUGCUGCUUUCCAACCCUGACAUAACAGAAAUCCCAAUAGCUUGUCGCAAAGGACUCCAGAUGGGUUAAACGUCCACUUUUUCUCACUCUUUUUUCUUUAUUUUUCCUUUUUCCAGCACGGCCCCCAGCACUUCCCUGCCUGCCUGUCCGUGUCCUGCAGCCGGCCGGGGCUCUGCUAUCUCCCAGCAGCAGAGAGGGAACAGAACGCUCAGCACUGCCUGGGUAAGGAACAAAGCACCCCUUGCCUCCCUACCUGCCAAUUCCCCCACAUUAUUAUAUUCCUCCUAAAGCUGUGUUUAGGAUGAUGGCUAGAUUUCAGCUGCUGAAUGAUCCAAAUGCUCUGGAAGUCGAUGUGAAGAGGGCCCUCUGUUCAGCUGAGCUCCGGGUCAGGCAGUGAAUCUCACAAGAACAAAAGCCUAAUCCUGAUUUUCUCACCCUGCUUUGCAAACCCAUUUCAGAGCAGUUUCUCCAUUGACUUUCAGAGCCUUUGAAUCCAGCUCUCCUACACCAGAGACCCAGGCUGGGCCACGCGUUUAACAAGAGCGCAGUGAAAUGCAGCUCUCUCUCCCACAGUUGUUAAUUCUCACUCAAUGCAUUCUUAAUAUUCAAUUACUAUUUAUGUUACAUGCAGGAAAGGAUUAUCCCAUUAAACCUAAAUUAAGUGCUUCGUUCAUUAAUUAAUACGUUUUAUUUCAAGUGUUGCCAACGUUUAUCCCUGGAAACGUAAUAUUUAAAACCAAAACGCACAGAAGAAGGAAAGGGAUCUUGUUUGCUUGUUGCUCUUAUAUUUGCUCAGAGAUGUUAAUGCGUUCUGGAGCCCCUAAAGUAUUCACCAGCUGCUCGUCAGGAGAGGGACUGCCUCAAAGGGGAGCAGAGCAAAAAGAGCCUGGAGGUGAUAGGAUGGAGGUGAUGGGACAGAGGAGAUGGGAUGGAAGUGAUGGGAUGAAGGCAAUGGGAUGGAGGCGAUGGGAUGGAGGUGUUGGGACAGAGGUGAUGGGACAGAGAUGAUGGGACUGAUGUGGUAGAACAGAAGUGAUGAAAUGGAGAUGGUGGGAUGAAGGUGUUGGGAUGGAGAUGAUGGGAUGGAGGUGAUAGGAUGCAGGUGAUGGGAUGGAUGAGUUGGGGUAGAGGUGGUGGGAUGGAGGUGAUGAGACAGUGAUGUUGGGAUGCAGAUGGUGGGAUGGAGGUGAUAGGGUGAAAAUGAUGGGACAGAGGUGAUAGAAUGAAGGCGUUGGAAUGCACAUGAUGGGAUGGAGAUAUUGAGAUGGUGGUGAUGGGACAGAAGUAAUGGAACUGACGUGAUAGGAUGGAGGUGAUGAGACAGAGCCUUUCACCCCCACAUUUCUCCCAUGAACCUCAGAAUUAGCCCAACUGGGAUGUCUCUGCCCUUUCCCAGCCCUAUGUCCAUCGGACAGAACAGCCCCGGGCUGUUGCUGUGCGGUGUUGGCAGGAGAUCAUCAGGGUCCUGGCAGCUGGCGGGGUCAGAGCCCAGCAUAGCGCUGCUCGGGGCUGAUGCCAUCUCUGCUCGGAUCAUCCGCAGCACUGUGAUUGCUGCACAGGGACCGACUCCGGAUAUUACAGCUCCUCAGAGAGCCACAUCCCAACCCAGCACCACUCAACAUCCCCAAAAUUACCCCAGGGACAAAUUGGCCCACCAGACCUACAGCGCUGACAGCAACAGCUCAGAAACAGCGUGAAAUCUAAAUUAAGUUGAGAGUCUCUUUUCUAAACAAAUUCCUUCUUGAAGAACCAAACCCAGACUUCAUUAUAACAACUCAAUUAUACACGAGGCUGAGCUCCAGUGCGCUCACAGAGACAAGAAGUUUGCCGUGAGUGUUUCACGCUUCGCUCAAAUUAUGACUUCCUUCAAUGCAAAUGGGAGGUUCGGCGAGCAAUGCACAUUUCCCCAAUGCUGCUCAGAAAACAAAUUACAUCGAUGUCUAUUAGGAAGCAGAAGCAGGGCUUCUGUAGGAACAGUGGUUUCUCCAGGGUGAAUUUCUGUGAGGUCUCUCCAGGGUUGCGUUGUGGGGUGAGAAAGCAAAGAGUGACCCCAAAGAGCCUCCAGGACAGCAGAGCCAUCCCUGCUGCUCUACACAGAACUCAGCCCACUGCACCGUGGGUUUGAUGGAUGCUAUUGAAGCACCAGCAGCAGGAGCAGAUCUCAGCACAUGGGCAGUUCUUGGGGGGCUGACCCCCUCUGGGGGGGACCAGGGGGCAAAGCCCUCUCCUGUGGCCCCAUCUCUCUCCCAAUCAAUAAACAAAGAGCAAAUAUGCAGCAUGAGAGCAGUAAAUAAACUUCUGUAGCCCCGCGGUGUCCCUCUGCCAAAUAAACUCAGUAGGGAUACAUAUUUUCUUGAGCCAUCUUUCACACCAAAUAAAGUCUUGAGGAAUAAAGUGACACUUCUGGCAGGUGCUGAAGCCGUGCUCACAGAGGCUCUCAGUGUGUCCUUCUCCUGUCGCUCAUCGUCCCCAAAGCUGCAGAACACCCAUUUGCAAGGACAGACCCCAAAUCAACACUGGUGAGAGGCAGAAGCUCAGAGCAGCAUCAUAGUCUCAGCCUUUGCUCUGAAUACAGUGCACAGCAGCUUAGGAAACACAAAUGUGUGACUUCCAUCCCUGCUUGGAGGCACUGGGGAACGCUGCUGCUCACCCUCCUGAGUUCCCACCCAACGUUAUCUCGCUUUCUAUCACAGCAGCAGCUUUCCCUGGGCUCAGAGUGAGGUCGUGAGAUUUUGUGUUCUUCAUACAAUUCCAUCAAACUGCCUCAGGAAGAAGAAAAUAAACCCUGCAAUAAGUCUUCCUGCUGAUUAUUUGCUGGGAUGAAUGGAUGGAUGGAUGGAUGGAUGGAUGGAUGGAUGGAUGGAUGGAUGGAUAAAAAAAAUAAAAGAAGAAGAAUUUACAGGUAAUUUCCUUGUCAAAAGUUCCUGUCUAUAAAUACAAUCAAGAUAAGAAUGACAUAGCAAAUAGCUCUUUUUCUCUCCUGAAUGAAUUAUUCAGUUCACCACUGAUCCUCUCUAACUGCUUUAUAUUGCCUUCUGCUUUCUGUAUUUAUUUUACUUUAUUUAGUGCUGUAGAGAAGCGCCGCCAAUAAUUGAAAUGAAUUCAGGCAAUUGCAGGAUCCCACAAAUCCCUCCUGGGGCCCCAGCUCAGCCCGAGCCCCCCCUGCUCCUUCCUCACUCUUCUCUCCAAGCCAUCACAAACCGUCUGUGUGUCCCAGCACAACAUGUGGAUCUGGGCUCUCUUCUUAUGCAGAAGCAGUCCCCAAAGCAGGAGAACUGGUGUUGGAAUCACCCAGUCCUGGACAAGCCCUGCUUUGGGUUGCAGCUGUGUUUUAGGAGAGGUUAAUGGGAGCCACAGGGAUGGGAAUCAUAGAAUCGUGGAAUGGUUUAGGUUGGAAGGGACCUCUACAACCAUUGAGUCUCAAACCCCCGCUGGAUGCCCCUCACAAGAUCAGACCAGGGACGCCCUUUGGCACCUCCAGGGAUGGGGAACCCACAGCUCUGGGCAGCAGUGCCAGCACCUCAACCCCUCUGAGUAAAGAAUUUUUUUUUUUCCUAGCACCUGAAGACAUCCAGGAUUGCCCCAACCCAGGUGGAACACCUUGGCCUUGCUGAACCUCAUUUGGCUCUUUUGGGCCCACUUCUCAAACCUGUCCAGGUCCCUCUGGAUGGCGUCCCUUCUUUCUGUUGUAUCAACUGCACCCCUCAGCUUGAUGUCAUCAGUAAAGUUGCUGUGGGUGGACUUGGUUCCACUGUCUAUGUCACUGCAGAGCACGAGUCCCAGGAUGGACCUCUGGGGGACACCACUCCUCACCAACCUCCACCCACACAUAGAGCCAUUGAUAACGACUCUGAUUAUGACCACCCAACCAAGUCCUCCUCCAACCAACAGUCCAGCCUUCAAAUCCAUCUCUCCAACUUAGCGUGAGGUGUCAGACCAUGUCAAAGGCCUUGCACAAGGGAGCAGCCAUGUGUUCUCCUUCCCAGCACGGAGGGAUGGAGAGAAGCCCAAGGAAUGGUCAUCGACCCACUGAACUGCAAAUGUGUGGUUGAGGAGAUUGAGAACAGCCAAGCCCAGGAAAAUUCCCCUUGGUCAUGUUCCUUAAUUGUUCGUCCUUGGAGAGACAGCAAACUCUGCUCUAUACGCCUGUGCUGGAUUUUUUGUUUUCUUUUUAAAAGUAAGACAGAAAUCCUCGUAACACAUCAAUAAAGAGCCACGCUGUAGACAGCAUCUGAAAGCAAGAAAAUAAUAUUACUACAGAAAAGGAAAAAAAAAAAAAAAAGCAACACAACAGCACCAAAAGCUAAUAAAAGCAUUACUCGAGAAACAGAACUGUUUCGAAGCAGCCAAAGAAUAUCCACAAUGAUGAUUCAAUUACACAGAAGAUUAGUGUUGGUCUGUCUGCGGAGCCAAGAGUUUCUCACGGAGGUUUUGAGCCGACGAAUGGGUGAUGACUUCAUAAAACCUGAGUGUAAUGGGGUGGAGGGACAAGAAAAACAAACAACAAAAAAACAAGAAGAAAAAUGCCCCCAAAACAGCAGAAACCAGACCAAUAAAAUCUCAUUCCAAUCAUGGAACAAAUCGUGUAGAUUUUUAUUUUUUUUUUCCCUGGGAGCAGAUUUCAGCUAGGGCAACAUUUCUUUAAGGUAUUGAUUAGCAAUUAGAGAGGUGUUUUAGCUGCUUCUCUGCUGUGUCCCUGUCAUUCCCUCCAGAAUUUCAAUUCCACGAGUACUAUUUCCAUCCUGCAGCGGAGCCAGGCGAGAAUCACUGCCCAACCCCACAGCUCCAGGCACUCCCUGCUGCUAAAGGAUUUGGGGUGGAGUGGGGUCCAGCUUCAGAAAAAAUAGAAAACCCUGAAAAGGAUGAAAAUUAAUCUUGAUUUGAGCCAGGAGGCGGUGGAUGGCUUGGAAUACAUUGGGCACAGGGCUGGGGUGUAGGAGUCUGCUUAACUCACAUAGUUUUAUCAGCCAGAGCUUUGGUUUGCCCCAUAGGUGCCAUAUCAGCAGCCAUCCCACUCAGCAUGAAGGGCAGCAACCAGGAGAGGAGGCUCUGUGGAACAGAUUACCCAGAGAAGCUAUGGGUGUCCCAUCCCUGGAGGUGCCCAAGGCCAAGCUGGGAGGGGGGGGCACCCAUUUUACAGCAGAGGCAGGGCUUUAAGGUCCCUUCCAACCCAACCAUCCCAUGGUUCUAUGAUCUUUAAGGUCCCUUCCAACCCAACCAUCCCAUGGUUCUGUGAUCUUUAAGGUCCCUUCCAACCCAACCACUCCAUGGAAAUAUGAUCUUUAAGGAUCCUUCCAACCCAAACAUUCUAUGAUUCUAUGAUUCUACAAAGAUACCAAUGAAGACUUGCACUGAAAACCAUCAAACUCAAAACACAUUGCCUUCAAUAAUCAACAGAGGAAAGCCACCAUCACCUCCCACAAAGGAGUGGCCAGUCUUUUCCUCUAGUGGUGAUUUUCCUGCCUUUUUAUGUGGUUCCACUUAAAAUGGGGAUUCUUAAGAGCAAGAAAAAUAACAAACGGAUUUCUCUUCAGAUAAUUCAUAAGGGCUCCGAGUGCAUUGUAAAUGCAUGCCUUUAUCCAACAGGCAAUUUGAUGUAUUUCAUAGACUGCUUUUGUAUCAGUUUGCUGCACAAUAUCCUCUAUGGAAAUUGUGGCUGGCUUAAUGCUCUCUUUAGCAAACAGCGUAAUUGCCCCCUGCAAUUUGUUGCCUGGAAAGGUUACUGGAAAAAAAAAAAAGAAAAAAAAAAGGAGGGGAGAGAAGAUCAACUUUGGUGGCUGGAGAAUGAAGGAGGAGAGAGAGAAUUCCAGCAGCAUUUGAGAUGAGAUUUAUUCUGGGCCAAGGAAUGCAAUUACAGAGUGGCACAGCCCGAUCCCACCCAACCCCACUGCUGGCAUGGGGUGUUCCCCAGCAUGACCCGAAUCACAGUGAACACGUGCACAGGCAUUGAGCUGCAAGGAUGAGAUGCACAGAGCAUCGAUCCCACAGCAGCGAAAGGGCAGGUGGCAAAACUGAGGGAGGAGACGGCAGUGGGAUGGAAAGAGGAAACCCCAACAGAAAGGGAUGGGAGCAGAGGGGUGGCUGCAGCAGGAGAGGGAGAGGGAGGAUGCAGAGGGGAGCGCGGGAGGCGCGGAGACGGCAGGCAGUGUUUAUUAAUUUUCUGCUUGGCUGCCUUUGGUGCCAUAGCUCCGAGAUCAUGGAGCCGCUCCACACUCUAUUAAAUAAUUCAAUCUGCGAAGAAUCCAAGUGUGUAAGCGAACACUCUUAUGCGUCUUAAAAUUUAAUUGCAGAGCUAAACAAGAUUAAGUGCAAGGAAGACAUAAAAGAUAUGAAAAUAGAUGCCGGGGCUUUUGUUUCUCUCGCUGCCCGAGCCCUGCACAGGAACCUUUCCCCAUUUUUCACACUGCUCCGCUAAAGAGCCUGAGCCUCUUUCAUCUGCUACCCCCUCCCUUUGUUCUAUUUACAGCUGUGUUUGCAAGCAGCAGGCUCGCAAAUCACUUAAUAUCCAUUAGAGCAGCUCCAUUCACCCUGCUCUAGGCUCCUGCUCCAGCAGCCUUUCUGCUACAAAUCCUCACGCUCAAGGCUUUCAGCAACCAGCUCCGAACUGGAGCCCCCAGAUUGGAGCCCACCACCACCACCUCUCUCUCACCGGGUGACCAUUGCUCAGAUGUGAGCGCUGCAGAUUUGCUUUGAACACCCGCAGUGCACAAAGCACCUGGUCCUGCCCCAAAGCUGCACGUCUGCACGUAGGGCCCAACCAGCACCUCCCAGGGCAAUGCUCAGCUCCCAGCUGCCCGGCUUGCAAGGGCAGUGUUGGGGUGCAGAGAGGGAACAUGGGGCUGAGUUCUUGCAGGGUCUGUUCCCAGCACUGCUGCUUCUUUUGCUCACAGCUGCAACGGUGUUUGGAGCUGAGCAUCGCCGGGGAUGGUGGAGAGGGAAGCGAGGAGGAGGGAUUAUGGGGGAGGAACGGGGGAAUGGAGAGCUGCCUGCGUGCUCGUGGUUUAAUAGGAAGAGCCCUGUUCCUGCUCACUGAGCAUGCUGCCCAUUAGCUCCUGAUGUGGGCCAGCACCUCUGAGCACUUCUACAGGGAGGAGAAUAAAAGCCAAGCGGGGCCAGAGGAGCAAGCAAAGCCUCAGCACAUGGGAGGAAAAUGUCACGCCAUUUUACGGACAUGGAAACUGGGAUCCAUUGAGGCCAAUAAGUCACACACACAGGGGUUGGUGGAGGAAGGAGAAUGCCUGCUGGUUCCCAAAGUACAGGACCCAAAGAGAUCCCAUCCCCUCACCUGCAACAGAGAGCAGUGCAGACACAGCUUUGGGGCGAUAAGUGUUUCAUGAGCAUCUCAGCUUUUAACUAGAGUUGCCAUCAACUCCAUGCAGGGAGGGAAAGGAGCAUCUAAAACACUUUCCGUGUUGAAGUCACGAGGAGCAGAUGCAGGGGGGUACUGCCAUGCUGUGCUCUGACGCAUGCCUUGACCCAUCUCCAGCAGCUCACCUGCCAUCACCCACAGCCAGGACCAUCCCUGCCCCACAUAGCUCAGCACCAGCAUCCAUUGGGGGUCAGCCCUCCAGCACGGCUGGUGCUGCAGGAGAUGCUGAGCUGUUGGUAAUGUCACCCGGACCGUGGGAACGGCUGCGUGCCAUUCGUUCCCUCCUGCAAAAUGUCACAGCGAAAAGGAAAUGUGGCACCGAGUCGGAGCGUUUUCAUAUCUUUGCCGAGAGAUCAAUCAAAAUGCUGUUUCUUCACAGGGAAAGCAAUCUCAGACACCUCCCGCAAGCCUGCCUUCACCCAAACAGGGCGUCGCGGAGAUCUCAUCUCUGUUAUUACAUGAGCUCACAGGUGUAUUAAUAUAAUUACUUGCAAAGGGCAACAAGUGAGACCUGAGGCUACUUUGUCUUCAUCUGCUUUGCUGCCGGGCUCAUAGCUGUUGAUGGCUGCUGUUACACCGGCUGUUGGGAAUGCAAACUGCCACUAAGCCACGUUUUCACUGUCUGAAAUCUCACGCAAAGCCUCUCUCGCCCCAAAAGAAGGGGGACAGCUUGCUGGGUGAGGGGACAAGCAGCAGAACGAUAUGCGAGAGCACCGUGCUGCUGCACAAACCCCGUGCCCCAGCACUGGGACGGACAGCACACAGCACUGCUCAGAUCCAGGCAACUCCCCCCCAGUACAUGGAGGGGUCACUCAUUUCCCAAGCCCCAUCCAAUGCGCCUCGCACACCUCCCCACGCGUGCCCCCCCGGUGACAGAUUGCUGUUAUAACAUUUAUGGUGAUUGAUGGAUGGCAUAGCAACAAGUGAAUUAACCAGGCGCGCGCGCUGACAUGAGUGGCGGUAAAUGUCAUAAAAGAUCAACCAUUAUAUUCCAAGCAUGGCUUUCCAACCGCUGAGCGAAACCAAUUGAGGUGAUUUAGUGGAAAUGAAGACUGCAGAGAGCACGCAGAGGAGAAGGGGAAGUUUGGAGCAGUGCUGAACUCUGCACAGAGCCUCGCACAGCGCUGCAGCGUCGCUACCCAUCAGAUUAUCUCCACUGGGGACAGUUCUGGGGUCAGCCCAUGUGCCGCAGCCCAGCGCAUCCCAAUGGACCCAACCCACCAAGAGCUGGGCUGAACCCAACCCUUCCAACAGGACAAAUCCAACCAACCUGUAUUCCAAAGACAUCUGCCCCCCCCCAAAAUAACAUCAUUUUGCUGCAGUGGCACUUUAAAUCUCGAGCAAUUGUAAAACCAAUUUGCACUUAGGAACGUUCAAUUUGUUUGCAGGUGUUUUCCCCUUAAGUUGCGCUGGGUAAUGCAGGCGGGUGCUGCAAAGCUCGCUGCAAAGUGGGUCCAGCACUGCGCUGAUCUGAGUGUGAAUUGGAAGGCACGACAGCGGGAUGCUGAGCUUCUCCAUCAGGGAAAUUAAUUUGAAGGAGCUGGGUGAGAUGUGGCCAGGGCAGAGCUGGGUCACCUGUGUGCACACGCUGCUUUCCUAAUGGAAAAAGGGACCACGGUCCUUUGGAGGCAGCAAGGAGGAGACCCACGAUGGCAAAGUCAGGGCUGGUUGUCAUCAUCUGAGGGACAGCAGAGGACAAAGGCCGAUGACAGAGAGGGCCAAAGGAGCGGGCAGCAGGGCUGCCCAGAAGCCGUGUGUGCAGGGUUAACAAGCAAUCAGUGGAUGCUUUAAUUAACUAAAUGAAAUUGACUUAAUUAAAUGCGGUUACUAAGAGGUCCCACGUGUCACAUGUCACUGGUUAGAGCUGAGGGUGCCAACAAGUGCAACAACCUCAGCUCUUCACGAAAGGAGUUCAAGCCAAUGAGUCUGCAAGAAAAUCCCCAAUUUCAGCUUUGGUCUGAGGCAUUCCGCUGUUCUUUCCUAACCCACCCAAACUCAAUCACCCAAAUUGCUGUGAUUUCCCCCACAUUUCUCAAGGGCACUCAUACAGCACACAGCAAGGGCAGAUUUGCCCAAAGCAGAGCAUCUCCAUCCCACGCAACAUCAGUGAGAAGCCACAGAAGGGCCCCAAAUCCCAUUCCCACACCGACAGCGGUGCAGUGCCAUCAGAGCCUCCACAUGUGCUGUCAGAGGGAGCUCAGCCCGCAGACAUCUGCGUCACAGCGGCUUUCUCUUCCCUAAACCUAUUUGCUGCCAGCACGGAGUGACGUGGCUGGAGCUGAGAGUGGGAUUACUGGUAAAGCUGGGAAGUGCUCUGCUGCAUAAUGAGGGUCACGGAGCAUCCAUGAUGAAGCUGCACCUCCGGCACGGGGUGAGGAUGCAGAGUCUGCCCAUGAGAUUUCCUCUUUGCAGCAGGGCAGAACAAGACCCAGCAGGAGGAGGAGCGACCAAACCCAAACCCAACUCAUCCAUCACCUUAACCGGCCACGCUGACGCCCGGAGCUGCUCUCCCUCACCUUGCAGCCAGCUGCCACGCAGUGCUCAGCUAUUGAUCCUCCGGAUGCCCGUGUGAUUGGAGUCUGAAAUCUAAUGCCUACGAAGUCCAGCCAAACCCAAACCUCUCAAAUCAUGUUGACACGUUUAGGAGGUGCCGGGCGCUUCAUCCUCGCCGGUCCGAUAUGUAAUUAUGUAAGUGUCACCAUGAUGUAGGUGUUUGGCAGGGCAAUAAAGCCCCCGGAGCCCUGACAGCCGCCGCUGCCGUUCCACGCUGCCCGCGAGAGCGCUUGCUGCCAAUUUCUUUCUGUAGUUAGACUGGAGGAAAUAGAGCUCAAUAAAGCUGCGUGUGGAUCACGGAGGAAAGUUUGUCUUGAAAAAUGGGUGGAGGAGAUGUCGGAGCACUGCUGUCACCCCAGGCCUGCACGGGUUUAAGUGUUAUUCGCUUUCUGUGCUGCUUGCCAGGCAACACGGUUGGCUGGAGAUGCGGGAUCCAACCCCACGCCUUCCAUUUCUCCACCCCACAGCUUCAGUACACUUCACGUGGCAGCUGCCAGGUCCCACGUCAGCUCCCAUUGCCUUCCUCUGCACAUAGGGCUGGGGGGUCUGGGAGCAUGGCACAACUCCCAGCAGCUCCAGGGCUCCUCAGUGCCAUCAGGUUGCAGUUGAUGCCCCUCAUUGCCAGCCACAGCCCAUCGGUGGCUGCCGGUUGUCAGACCCACAUCAGCCCUUCGUCCAGCAGGGCUGCAGCAGCCAUGGCAAAUUCUGGAUGCCAUCCAGAGAGACACAGACAGGCAGCGCAGUGAGGAGAACCUCGUGAGGUUCAACAAAGCCAAGUGCAAGGGUCAUGGUAACCCGCAGUGUCAGUACAAGCUGGGGGUGUAAGGAUGGAGCACAGCCCUGCCAAAAAGGGUCUGGGGGUGCUGGUGGGUGGCAGCUGGGCAUGAGCCAGCACUGUGCCCUCACAGCACAGAAAGCCAACUGUAUCCUGGGUGCACCCCUCCCGGAUUCCCUAAUUCCUCCAAAGCACUCAAAGCUUUACUGCUGCCUGGGACACCCCCUGCCAGCUGCAGCCAUGAGCGGGGUGCUGGGAGGCAGUGGGGCUGCACUCCUGGCUGAUGUUCCCCCAAAGAGCACAAACAAUUCCCAGCAGUUCAGUUCCUCCCAUCAGGGCUCAGGAAGCAUGACUGCUCCUCACUAAUACGUCUUUUGCUUGAUGAGCUGUCGAUGGCAGGAGGAUUUAAUCUCCCAUACCCUUUCUCUCUCCCAAAUCCACUAAGGUGAAGGCACUUCAUUACAGAACCACUCAGCUGUCUGUUCCCAUCGAUCACGCUUUGGCAUGGGUGACCUCGGAUCGAUAGGCUGCCGAUUAUUUAGUGCAUGUUCACCCAUGUCAAAUGCCAGCAGGGCAGGCACGGCGCUGCCUGAGUGAGGAACCUGGCACUGCUCCAUCCCAAACAGCUCACGGGCAGCAGCGGAGCCCCACGGCCGCUCUAUAUCAAUUCAGGAUGCCGAGCAGAGGGAGGAAGGCAGUUCCCCCCACUUUGCUCUCAAGCCAAACCCCUGUGCUGUAACUACCUGAUGAUUCAUCCGCCUCCAAGAGAUGUCCCUUCCAACCAGCCGCAGUCUGACUUUUUAAUCAAAUCCUUUGCUUCCUUCUCCCCGUAGAGCCAAAGCCGUUUUUCUAUUACAUACUGAUUGAUCAAGCCUUCGCAAGCAGGCUGUCAGCAUCUUCCUGAUCCCUCAUUUCCAGUCCCCACACACAGCAGGUUGCAGGGCUGAGCCCGCUCGCUCCAGCAGCAGCAAACAGAUACAUAAAUGCACGCAAUUAGGGGGAGGAGGCGGGGAGGAGACGUGGAUCCUGCUUUGGAUUUUAUGCCCCCAGCCCAAAAGUUUAUGUUAUAGAGUAGGCAGUGUUAGCACUAAAACAUGUGAGCAGGGGAGAAGGACACGGGGGUGAGCCCAAAAUGCUGCCUGGUGCCAGGGUAGAGAUGCUCACACCAUCCUUGCGCUGUGCAAAAAUAGAAGGAAAAUAGGAGAGUCUCCAGAGCUCCGGCAUGCCUCGUGCUAAUGAGUUGUUUUCCACAGCAAGAAAUAGUCAGAACAAGCCCAAACUCUGCUAAACAAGGGCUGUGGCCGCAACAGGCCAAAGAUCAGCUUCCCCCAAGGAGAACGUUGACGAGGAAGUAAAAAUCCAAAAUGCAGCACUUCGUUCCCUUCCACCGUAUCGCCUGGCAAAUUAAAUAGCAGUGAUGUGAGUGCUGGGAAGGAAGUGAUCCCCCUCUGGAGCUGGGCUGUCCCACAGCCCCACGGCUCACGCAGGCUCGCAGCUGUUUGCUGGGAUGGGGAGCCCAAGGGAAGCGGUGCUGCAUUGCAGCCCUGUGCUGCUAUGGAUGCAGGGAAGUGGGAGAGGGCUUUACUCCUGCACAGCACAGGGCAGGUGCAAAGGUGGCAGCAGCCCCAGCACCGGAGCUGUGUGCACCACAGCUGCAUGGCUUUGU
ensembl:lncRNA